UACGUAGGGGGCAAGCGUUGUCCGGAAUUAUUGGGCGUAAAGAGCGUGUAGGCGGUCCGGUAAGUCAGCUGUGAAAGUCAAGGGCUCAACCCUUGAAAGCCGGUUGAUACUGUCGGGCUAGAGUCCGGAAGAGGCGAGUGGAAUUCCGGUGUAGCGGUGAAAUGCGCAGAUAUCGGGAGGAACACCAAUGGCGAAGGCAGCUCGCUGGGACGGUACUGACGCUGAGACGCGAAAGCGUGGGGAGCAAACAGGG
rnacentral:rRNA from 1 species